ACUUAUUUAAAUCUGUUGUUCUUAUAUUUAUUGUAAAUCAAACACAGAACUGGUGCUGUUAUUUUCCUUUUGUUAUACUCUAGAUCAAUUUGAAUCAGUCAUUAUCGUUAAUCUUCUUUUUGGGAUAUCUAUAUUACUUGAUUACUAGAAAUGGAAGAGACAAACAAGGAGUUCCAUGGGAGAGGCUUAACUUGACUAGAUAUCAACUUGAUUGUUGUCCUGAUAUUUGCCUCUUAGGAAAAAAAAAAGGCUAGUAAUCUCUGUUGGUUUUCUUUCUUUGUUGGCAACUUAACAAAAUUGUAGCUUUCUGAGUUUUCUGUAGAACUUAUUUGUUCUCAUGAUUUACAGUGUUUAACUUUGAUUAGCUAUAGCAUGAACUGCUUGUCAUUGCUAAAAGUAUCUUUCCUGCAUGCUACUCUUGGAUAGUUGGAACCAUUACUUUUGCGUUAGUCCUCAAAGCAUUUGGAUGGAAAUUAUUCUGGUGUUGAUUUAAUUGUUCUAGCUGCUAACUUUGCCGGCUGCAGUACUUUUACUAACAGAGUACUGUGAGAGUGUCUCAAGUGAGACUGAGAAUGUUGGUCUUCCUAUGAUCUUGUUACAUGGCUUUGGAGCCUCAGUUUUCUCUUGGAAUUGGGUUAUGAAGCUGUUCGCUAAGGUCAUUGGUUCCAAAGUUCUGGCAUUUUAUAGAUCGAAGUUUGGGUUGACACUUAUAUUCAAACUCUGUCAGGCAUUUAUCUUCUGGAAAUGGGGAAUCGAAAUCUGUGAAUCCGUACUCCAUGGCAUUUUCAGUGCUUGUUACCUUGUUUUUCAUUGAUUUUCUAGCAACUAAGAAGGCCAUUAUAGAGGGGCAUUCAGCUGGUUCUCUUGUAGCAGCUGAGUCAUAUUUUGAAGCACCAAAACGUGUGGCUGCUCUAAUCCUUAUUUUUAUCACAAGAAAAUUUUGAGAAAUAGCCAAGACUUAUCAUGUCAACCAGAUACAAGUGAUGGCGAUUAGAGUUGGGUUUUCAAUUUGCACAAUUAAUUCUUAUGCACAAGCUGUUAUUUAUUUCAAAAUUAUAUGUUUAGAUUGUCAGUAUCUUCAGUAGGUUUACU